UGGGGAAUAUUGCGCAAUGGGCGAAAGCCUGACGCAGCGACGCCGCGUGAGGGAUGAAGGCCUUCGGGUUGUAAACCUCUUUCAGCAGGGACGAAGCGAAAGUGACGGUACCUGCAGAAGAAGCACCGGCCAACUACGUGCCAGCAGCCGCGGUAAUACGUAGGGUGCAAGCGUUGUCCGGAAUUAUUGGGCGUAAAGAGCUCGUAGGCGGUCUGUCGCGUCGGCUGUGAAAACCCGAGGCUCAACCUCGGGCCUGCAGUCGAUACGGGCAGACUAGAGUGUGGUAGGGGAGACUGGAAUUCCUGGUGUAGCGGUGAAAUGCGCAGAUAUCAGGAGGAACACCGGCGGCGAAGGCGGGUCUCUGGGCCAUAACUGACGCUGAGGAGCGAAAGCGUGGGGAGCGAACAGGAUUAGAUACCCUGGUAGUCCACGCCGUAAACGUU
rnacentral:rRNA from 1 species